rnacentral:lncRNA from 1 species
UGGCUGUUAGAAGAUAUAGUGUGGAACAUAGUAACAGUGAUAUAAAACAGUUUGCAUGUUUCAUAUCAGUAUUUAAAAAGAAUCUUUGAUGAUAGUUAGUAACCAGUUAUCUGCCUUGAGUUAUAUUUCUUUGCUCAGUCUGAUUAAUAUGCUAUUUUUUUUCUGUGCAUGCACUGAUUCUGUGACUUGGAUGGAUACUCCAUAUUCUGUUUUUCGUUUUUACUAUUAAAUUUUAACUUUGAAACUUGUGUCUCGAAGAUGAUGUAAGCUGUCUUUUUAAAGCUUUAGUUGAAAAGGCGUAUAUAAAAAAACUGCAAUUUAUUCACAUUUAUACUUG